rnacentral:lncRNA from 1 species
CUGGAGGUGCACCGGUGCUCCCUCAUGGAGGAGCCCCUCCUGCCCCAGGACUGCCUUUGCUUCAACAGCAAAGGCAGCAGAUAAUAGCCCAGCUGAGGGCUGUGAAUAGACAGAUUUAUGCCAAUCUACCAAGGAGAGCUGGCAGGGGCAGGGGCCGCAGGCCGAGGCCCAGAGGGGCCGUAACAAAA